CAGUAGCCGCGGUAAUACGUAGGGUGCGAGCGUUAAUCGGAAUUACUGGGCGUAAAGCGUGCGCAGGCGGUUUUGUAAGACAGGCGUGAAAUCCCCGGGCUCAACCUGGGAAUGGCGCUUGUGACUGCAAAGCUAGAGUGCGGCAGAGGGGGAUGGAAUUCCGCGUGUAGCAGUGAAAUGCGUAGAUAUGCGGAGGAACACCGAUGGCGAAGGCAAUCCCCUGGGCCUGCACCGACGCUCAUGCACGAGAGCGUGGGGAGCAAACAGGAUUAGAUACCCCUGUAGUCCCUGUCUCUUAUAC
rnacentral:rRNA from 1 species